CUCGCCAGCCGUUCAGGGCGUUUUGGGCUGACUGCUCACCACAGCCAUAUACGGGCGGAAAAACAAUUUCGAGCUGGCAGGUCAGCGUCUUCACAAAAGGGGAAUUUACGGACUGCUGUUUACGCGUUUUCUGCCAGUCUUUCGAGAGAAUCAUCGAUGAAAAGAUUCGACGUAUUCUUGAAUGAGUAAUUUUCUGUAUAGUAACCCAACCACAUUAGAUUAGUAUCUUGGUUGUGUGUAUGUGUGUGUUUAGGCAAUAACGGCCUCGAGUGAUUUCCAGGCAGUUACGCGAUUAGGCAAUUCGCUCGCCAGUAAAUACAGUGCGUGCGAUAAUGUAAUAUAGCCGGUAUGUAACGCUUAUAACAUUGUGUUCUUGUCCAUCAGGCGUUGCAGGGGUACAAUUGAGGGGCCAAUAACGUAUGCGUUUUAUUUUACAGUUUUGAAAAAUCAAAAAUUGUAUUAAAAUAAGUUUAUAAAAUGUGCUUUAGGGCUGGAGAGCAGCUGAAAUGUGCCCUUUUCUUUCAGAGUCGGUCAAUUACAAUGUGGGUCUGGCGCAUUUCCUGGUGCGCAGCAUGAUCUGUGCUGCGCUGCGCUCCUACACUCCGAAUACCACAACGGGCCACAGAGCGUUAUCGGAAUUAUAUUUAACCAAACUGCCCUUCACCUGGAAGACACAUUGUAGCCAGACAGUGUUGGUCAAUGUACGCGCGCUCCACCAUGGACGUUUUUAAGCUUCGACGAACGACCUUGAAAUGUGUUCCACCCCCCCAGCUGCCUCGCCUUUACUUGCGACAGCGGGUCACGAGGUCAGAGGUGUUUACGCGUUCUUUGGCUUCUUUGUGUCGGUGAUUUUUCUACUGCGCUGUGCACUGAAAACGUUUUCAGGCUGAAUGUUUCCCAAGCAGGGCUUAUCCGCGGGAAUGGCUAUUUAUUAUUAUUAUUAUUAUUAUUAUUAUUAUUAUUAUUAGUAGUAGUAGUAGUAGUAGUAGUAUUUAAGAGCUGUCUCGACUGUAAAUCCUAUACAUUUGAAUCAGCGAUUAGACAUGGGGAAUUGUACAAGCUUUUGAAAAAAUAUGGUGGUUAAAUCAACUAUGGAAAUUACUGCAAUAUCGAACCAAAAAUGGGAAACCAAAUCAUUUUUCCAUAUGCCUUUUCACUGUCCUGUUUGUCAACGGUAGGUUCGCUGCUAUACAAAAGAGUGAUAACGUGACUUUCCGUAUGGCUUAUAUACUGGGCAGUGCGGACCAUUCCAGAUAAAACGCGGCCCUUGUGUAUGCUGUGGUGAAGCGUCUGUGCAGUCGGCUAACCGUGGUUCGUCAUUCGGUACGCGUACAAUUAUCUAGUGUGCCACUGACGAUGUCCUCAGGCGAGUGGUAUGUUUGCCAAAUAUUUUUCCUUUAUCUGUUCAUAGUCAGUUCAAUGGUCUGACGUUGUUUAAAUAAAUCCUGAUUAAGACAACAGUAUAUGUGUGUGUGUUCUUUUAACCGCGUUCGACCACCGGGAAGACUAGACGAGCAUUCUCCCUGAUGUUAAUUUCGUUUCGACCAACGGGCCCAUUCUCCACAUGGCCCUACUUGGACCCAGUUAUGUCGGGGAAAUGGGAAAGAUUUCAAUCACGUGUGUUUUUGUCGUUUAAAAUGAUAAUGGACGAAAGAGGCAGUUCAUUUGUCUCCAACGGAAACCAACUGGAAUAUACACACAGAUAUGCACGUAGCCUGUUCCCAUAGAACAGGCUGUACUUUGCACAUGUAAGUAAAUAUAUUAUUCUGUUAUUCUCACUGUGUGGUACUGUGCUGUAAGUGGCAACAUGACAGAUAGAGACAGCUGACCUGGGGUUACCCAGUGUAAUUUGAAGACCCUUAGAGCUCAUGUUGGAUCAUACUCAAAGAAUGCAUUCUGUAAGAUUAAUUUCCCCCUCCUGUCUCAUCAGAAAGAGAAGUUUUUUUUUUUAAGCAGCUUGUUGUCUCUGAGGCACGAUUUUCUGAGAUUAGAUAAAGAUUUAUAAAAUGUUGUUGUUAUAUCUGUAUAUAUUUUAAUUACUGGGGACAAAAUCACCACUGCAAAUUUGGCAGAUUUUGCCACAAAAAUGUGUUCUUUGAAUGUACUGAUUAACCAGAGCCUCUAGGCUGCACUAAUUUUUUACAAUAAAUAAAUAAAUUAGUGCAGAGUAAAUAUUUACAUUGUAGGCAUUUAGCUGAGUCACUUACCAUCAUGGAAUUAUCAUCAUCAUCAUCAUCAUUGUUACCAUCUCCACACUAAUAAAAAUCUAAACACUUGCACUUGUCAUGAUUGUGGUAAUCCACAAAUACAUUUUUAAAAAUUCAGGAUAUAGGAGCACCAUGUUCUGUUAUGGAUGAAAGUCAAAAUAACAGACACUUAGACUCACACUGAGAUGUCAUUGACAUACAGCAGAAAACAAGCUUAAACAAUGUGUGUCAUUUUUUUCCAGGUAACAUUUUCACUCUUGUUCCCAGUAAGCUGGUAUCUAUUUAUGUCAUACAGGUCAUACAAUGUUUUGGGGUGGGGUGUAAGAACCAAUAAUGUAAUAAUAACUGGCCAAUAAUGUAAUAUGUAAACUAUAGUAAUAUGAAGCAAUCAAUGGAAUAAUGAAUUGAAGUCAUACAUUCUUUAUGGAAUGUAGGCUCAGUACUUAUAUUUACAAAACUGAAGACCUUAAAUGAGACGUUGAUUUGACUAAAAGCAACUUUGACUGGAGCUAUUUGGGAAGAAUAACAAAAAAAUGAAAUCAGUCAAAAGACACAUCAUAAUGUGAUUAAAGAAAAUCUGGAAACAUUGAAAUCAGCCAUUAAGAAUAAUCAAAAACCCUCCAGCCACAAAUCUCACAGAAUUAAUUGAUAGAAUAAUUCCACUUAGAUAAAAUAGUUUCAGAUUUUAGUCGCUAAAAUUUCAACAAAAAAUCACAUGUUCCUAAUGAAACCUGGAAUUAAAUGAUUAAAUGCUGAAAAAUAGUAACCCUGCAAUGCAUGUAACUUCAUCACUCAGUUACUCAGUCACAGACCUUCGCGUUUGUAGGGCUGGCCCCACUGUUGCGGUCCAGCCAAAAAUAGGUGAAUGCUAAGAAAAAACUGAAACACCUCCUCUAGUCCCCAUCAAUUCAAGUGACUAUCUUGCCGUUACCAAAAAUUUAGCUUGGUUAUAGCCUGAAUAUAACUAUUAUACUUCUAAGUAAAUUAGGUAAUACAUAUUUCUAAUAGAGGUGUCCAAGAAAGAAUUAUCUACAUUCCUAGGAUGUACAUAGUUAAACCCAGACUAUAACCAGCCUAAAGAGUAAAUGGGGAGUGAAAACUGGCAACUAAAGACCAGCAUUCCUCACAUAGAAGUGUGGAGUGAGGUGGGGCUGUACCGUGAGUUCAGUGAUUAUUACGAUAUUACAAUAUUGAACAUUAAUGAGUUAGGAGAGCAGUUGGAACAGUCCAUAGACCCCCGUCUCCUCUUGCUGGACACACAGGUAAAAUUCUUACUCUACGCAGAUGACCUGAUUCUGCUGCCAACCACUGAAAAAGAAGGACAGAAGAACCUGCUCUGAUUCAGGAUUUCUGUCGGAAACCGGCCAUCGACAGUCAUCUUGAAACAAGACACGGUCACGAUCUUCUAAAAAGGCCAGAUGUCCAGAAACCGGUUCCAGCUUAUUCAAUGCAACACUGCUCUGGCACACGCACUAAAUUACAUUUACCUCGGUCUGGCAGUUACAGGACCAGGGAGCUUAAGCAUGGCAGUGAAUGCUUUUAAAAGAAAAGGCUGGAAAAGCACUCAGCAAAAAACUGUGAUAUACCAAAUAAAAUAAAAAACGGAGAUAUACCAAUUCACAUUUGCUUUAAAACUCUGACAGUGUUAUAUCCAGGCCAUUUUACUAUAUGGACAUGAGGCACAGGGUCCACUCAGUCAGCAAAGCUGUUCUUAAUGGGACAGGCAUCCAACAGAGACCCUGCAUGUAGAAUUCUGUAGCAAGAUUCUACAAGUACAAAGGAAACCUCCUGAUAAUCCAUGCAUGGCUGAAAUAGGCCAUUAUCUGUUAAUGAUUCAUAUCCAAAAAAAGAGCAGAAAAAUUCUGGUUGCAACUCGUUUCAAGUCCUCAGGACACAUCGCGGUAUGGCCGUGUAUUUCUUCCUUUUGCCUCACUCAGUGAGAGGAUCAGACCUAGCACCGCUUGUACUGUGGCUACCGUGACCAAUAGAAACCAAGAGCAACAGGAGCUGGAGCUGUUCCAGUCACGUUGUGUCCCCAAAGCAGCUUUGAUGUGGACAGAGGAGAGGCAUUCAUGUGCAGCAUGAAAUGGACUGGAACAGGAAGUCAGGAACAGGAAGUCAGCAGCUUUUUUUUUUUGGGUGUCGCCUUAAGUUUCAUUUGAACCCCCUGUCCACUUUUCACCUGACCUACACCAAUGGCCAUCUCCAUGGAAAUGCAUUCUUCCAGGAGGGCGAUAGCUGGACCAUUGUAUUUGAAGAGAGACUGGAAGACACAACAUUUUGUUAGCCUAGCUUAAAUGAGAUUUAGAGCUGGGAUUUAAUUGAGGUAUUUAACAUUCUACGGAGGCUUAAUCAGGCGAAAUGUGGAAAUUACUCCAAACUAUAGUCUGUCUCACAGACACAGGCAAAGCUCUUUUGAAAGCAAAUUUCUCAUUGACACCAGACACCAGUUGCACACUGCUGACUAAUGCUGAAGUGCACAUUGGACAGGGCAGAGGCUGAUUUCUGCUUGCUGGUGAUAGAGAAUCUUUUUUGAGCCUCUUUAGAAUGGGUAGGAAGCAGUGCAGAGCUCAGGGUCUCAUUGAUGAUUGGCUGUGCCUGGUGAUGUCACAACGCAGAAUGUAGACAGAGGCAGCAUUGUGCAAUGCAUUCUUGUGUUCUGCGUACUUUCAUACUCAAUAGUACAUUUUCUCAAACCUAGUUAGAACAUACUUCAUAGUUUGCCGGAGUGCAAACAUACUUCAGUUUUGUUACAUGUGGAACACAUGUGGCCUGUCAGUAUACCUUUGACCUGACAGGAAAGACAAAAUUACUUGUACUGUAUAAGUACUUGAUUGUUUCGUAGCAUCAAAACCAAUAAAUUCUCAAUAACCAGGUCCUUCUUGCUACCAAGUGAAAUACAUCAAUAUUGUUAGCUAUCAUUAGCAUGCUAGCUACGAUGGAUGACAAGUUAGGACUAAUCUGUGGUUAUUUUAUUGCAGUUACUGCUGCUGUCACUUGGUACUAUUGUAUAUUGAAUGUACUAACUGUCAAAAACAUAUUAUGGAAAAUAACACAAAAUCAUUAGCUAAGUUACUUUUGUAGUGGUUACAUGUAGAAACAAGUAGGUCGGACAGGAGAUGGUAGAAGUUGCUCCUGUUUCCUCAGAGCAAAUGGGAAUGCUGGUUUUCCCUUCAACCCACUGCCGGAGGUCAGAGGUCAGAGCAGUGGAAUGCAGUCAACCUGAAUGAAGCCAGUGGAAUGCAAAGGGACAGUGUUACCAUGGCAAUUGUGGGGGCAGGGGUGUUUUGUGCAAAGGGGAUGUCGAUAACAGUAGUGUAAACAGUCAUUGACCAAAGGGCAGUGUAGACCCAAUAACACAGCACACUCUCUCUUCCCCUUUCCCCCUCCCUCCCUCCCUCCCUCCCUUCCUCUCUCUUUCUCUCUCUCCCUACCUGCCUGAGCAGAUUGUAUGUGUGAGGAGAGGUGUUAAUGUUGGUCUAUAUGAGUGGGGUGUGUUUGUAUGAUUCUCUGGUUGUAGGAGCGGACAGUGCAGCACGGGUUGAUGUGUGUGAAUCUUACACAGUUCUGAUAACACAGCUCGUCUUCUACUGUUUACUGUGCUUUAUUGACUGAAAGGCCUGUGGGCAGAAGCGAUCGCAGACUCUGGAACUCAUCGCCGCAGACACAUAAACAACACAAUUGUACAAUUAAAAUGUGUCCAAAAUUUUUUUUUUUUUAAAUUAAGUUUAAGAAUUUUGCAGCCCAGAGAAAGUUGUGUCCCUAAAUGACUGCGUAGUGUUUAUCCCAGUGGCCGGCUCUGGCUGUGGGGGCUUGGUGACCCACUACGGACCCCACCCCUGCCCUCUCUUCUCCCACAGUGGCACCCAAAGGUCAGUCACUUUGGCCGAGGAGCUCCCGUCAUCCUCAUCGGCUACAAGACAGACCUGCGCAAAAACAAAGAGAGAAGCAGGAAACCAAGGGCCAUGAAUCUGGUACCUACCACAUACACACAGGUACAUAUAACUAUCAGCCACACACAGGUAAACACACAUACACACAUACACACACACACAAAAACACACAGGCCUAUCACCUGUGGAAAGGUGGUCAUGUGGCCUAAACACAGGAAUGAUCCUCUAUCACCUACACCUAUCACAGCUACACAGGUACUGUUUUAGGAUCACUAAGCAUGGGUCUUUGGUCUCUGGCUUGGGCUUUCAUAUAAGCUUUGACCUGCGCUGGUCUGGUGUGAUCCAUAUUUAUCCAGUUUUGUCUGUGCUGGUCUGAAUUUGUCUGGUCACAUCUGCACUAAUCUGUGCUGAUCUGGCGCUGGUCUGGUACCUGCAUGUGUUGGUCUGUACUGGAUUGUUAAUGGUGUGUGGUUAUCUGUACUGGACUGUGCUGGUCCACGCUAGUCUCUGUUGUUUCAGAAAAUGAGACAGGUAAAAUGGUAUAGACCUGUAUCUGGAGUGUCUGGCAAGGUGCCCAGGACUGUGGAGGACUUAAAGAGAAGCCAACCAACAACCCCCGACCUCCAACUGCAGGCCUAGACAUGCCUGGAAGAGGAAGUGGGUGUGUUCCAUCCUGGGGCAAGAUGAAGAGGAAGAGGGUGUUUUUCGAUUCCCAUGUUUGAGUAUUGGAUGGUGAAAGUGCUGCCUGCACCUUCAAUGCCAGCAUGUUUUGUUUGGCAGAAGCGUGUGCAGUCCUGCGAUUGGCUCAGGUUGCAGUGCUCCUGCAUACCGACUGGCUCAGUUUAAAGACUCUUUAAGGUUGACAGUACACCAAGACAGCAAUAGCCAGACUUUCUUAGCCAAAGGAGACUCCCUUCUUACAUAGGGUUGCCAGAUUCCCAUUUUUUGAUCAGAAUCGGUUUGUGGUCCUCAGUGGAUAAUAUAUUGUCUGAUCUGAGUAAUUAUUUAAGAAGAAAUUGCCUUUAGUUUGCAAUAAAUUACGAGUCUUCAUUAUACCCGUGUCGUUCGUGAUUAAGCUUCUGGGUGUGCAUGUACGUUGUCCUGUUUUCACAAUUCUAAAUCUGGCAACCCUAUCCCUGCAGCUGCCACGUCUGUCAAAGGUCAAAUGUCUUUUUCCUGGGAUUUUCAGGAAAAAUGGGUCCAACUAAUUUACUCCUGGACUUGCAAUUUUACACUGGUUUAAAUGAACAGUCUUUACUGCAAAAGGAGACAUUUUUGAUGUUAAAAGCAUGUAAAUUGUCCGACUUUCAAUGUGAUUUUACAUUGCAUAAAGUAUUUCACCAUUGAGCAAAUGUAAAUAAUGUACCCAAUGGAAGAUAUGGUAAUAUUAUGUUUUUAGAAAUACAUGUUGCAUUUUAGCAUACUAAAAAUGUAUUCCUAUAUAUAUAUAUAUAACCUAAUGUUUUUGAUAUAUUGAUUUUAUAAAUGUGUGCAGCAGCUGAAAAAGCAAUGAUUCCUGACAGAACACAUGCCACCAGCAUGUCCGUUCUUGUGGAACUCUACAGAUCAAGAUUUUUUAAAUAAAAAAAACUUACUCAAGCAUACAUCUCCACCUCAGAGUUAAGGUAAUGUGAAGGUACACUUUAUAUUCUACGGAGUAUAUCAAGUCUGAUACAUAACAUUAUGCUCAGUGUACAUUAUUUUAUUUGGCAUUUGUUUUAAUAUCCUGUCCUGCAUGUGAUUAAUAAGAAUGAUAUAUUUGUUAUAAGUUCUCCUCCAGUUCUGUUGAAAUCAAUAGUGUCUUAUAUGGUGAUCGCAGAAUUAUCUAAAUCUCUUAAAAUGUUUCAAGAUAUUAAUGAUCCAGUAACAUAUACUGUAUAUUGAGUAAAAGAGCAAUAAAAUGAACCCUGA